UUCUAUGGCCAUACGACCCUGAGCGCAUCCCAUCUCAUCUGAUCUCAGAAGCUAAGCAGGAUCGGGCCUGGUUAGUACUUGGAUGGGAGACUACAUGGGAAUACCGGGUGCUGUAGGCU
ensembl:rRNA 5S_rRNA 5S ribosomal RNA